rnacentral:rRNA from 1 species
UACGGAGGGGGCUAGCGUUGUUCGGAAUUACUGGGCGUAAAGCGUACGUAGGCGGCUUUGUAAGUUAGAGGUGAAAGCCCGGGGCUCAACUCCGGAAUUGCCUUUAAGACUGCAUCGCUUGAAUCAUGGAGAGGUGAGUGGAAUUCCGAGUGUAGAGGUGAAAUUCGUAGAUAUUCGGAAGAACACCAGUGGCGAAGGCGGCUCACUGGCCCGGUACUGACGCUGAGAUACGAAAGCGUGGGGAGCAAACAGG